rnacentral:rRNA from 1 species
UCAAGAAUAUUCCUCAAUGGGCGAAAGCCUGAAGGAGCGACGCCGCGUGACUGAUGAAGUCCUUCGGGAUGUAAAGGUCUUUUCUCCGGGACGAAACAAUGACGGUACCGGGGGAAUAAGAGGUUGCUAACUCUGUGCCAGCAGCAGCGGUAAUACAGAGACCUCGAGCGUUAUCCGGAUUGAUUGGGCGUAAAGCGUGCGCAGGCGGCUUCUUAAGCCAAUGGUUAAAUCCUAAUGCUCAACAUUGGGACCGCCAUUGGAACUGGGAAGCUAGAGUAUGGAAGGGGUCAGCGGAAUUGCCGGUGUAACGGUAAAAUGUGUUAAUAUCGGCAAGAACACCAGAGGCGAAGGCGGCUGACUAGUACAUCACUGACGCUGUUUGCACGAAAGCGUGGGGAGCGAAUGGG